GUGUGAAUGUGUGUGAAAGGAAAAAUGUGGCAUGUAACGUAAGAGCACUUUGAGUAGUCGGAAGACUAGAAAGGCGCUAUAAUACAGGUCCAUUUACCAUUUACAUACAAUAUCAUAAUACAAUAUUGUAAAGUAGGGAAGGCAGGAAAGAAGGGAUCUUGAAAUUGUUCAGUCAGUCCAAAUUUGUUCAGCAGUGGAUCAAUGCAGCAUAUUUACAGUGAGGAUCGGCUUGGCCCAAACCGGAGAAAAAAACAAACUAAAUAAAAAUGAAAAAACAAAUGGAAAACAACUUGGGGAAAAAGCUAACUAGAGGUAUCAAAAAGAAAAAUCAACUCUGCUCUGGGGUAUACCCCUUUUAAGCUUGGGCCCCUGGCAGCCAACAAUCCCUGUGGCCUGCUCACCAACAUCCUCAAAAGGUAGCCCCUUGGAGAACCCUCAUCUACUGCUUAUAUAUCCUGUAGCUCCUCCUACCCCAGGAAGCAAUUAACCUAUUGCAUACAUUCAUCUAAUACCCAAUAUAUAACUUGUAUAAGUCAACAGUGGAAAAAACUUAUUUUAAAAAAUAAACUAGAUCCCAAACUGUUCAAAACAACAAAUCUCCAAAUCACAAUCUAGAGGAAAGAUGUGAAAAACCCAAAUUGUUCCUGAAGCUUCCUUCAAGAUCUAAUGUAACUCAAUGCAAACAUAAUACAAUUAACCUUACCAUGUUUCAACCCAACAUCUGUACUAAUUACCAAACCAGGCAAACUAGAUGGUAUGUAAAAGUGACUGAGGUGGGACAGAUAUUUUCGGAAAUAUUUGUACUGGGAGUGGAUUGCAUCUAUCCAUCUCCAUGCAUGCAUUCGAUUCCCACACUAUCUGAAAACCAUUGAUAAUGAUAUAUUUGUUUAGCACUCAAAUCCACUCACCUUUAACAAUAGCUGGAGGCACGGUGAAGUUGUCUUUAACAUUUUUAGUUAAAGUUACCAAGUGAGACUCUGCAGCAUUUCUAUGUCCGAUAGAAGCACUAGCACUAGUUUCUGGUCUCUCUUCCUCAACUACUCAUUCUUCCACUUCGCUUCAGACAAAACAUCUACUGUAGUAAGUAUUUUUUGGGGCUUUUAUUGCCUUUAUUUGAUAGGACAGCUGAAGGCAGACAGGAAGGGGGCAGAGAGAGAGAGGGGAUGACACGCAGUAAAGGGCUGCAGGUCGGAUUCGAACCCUGGGCUGCUGAAGCAAGGACUCAGCCUCGGCACACGGGCCGCCAGCUCCACCCACUGAGCUGAGCACUGUUCUAGUGUUUUCUAGCAUGUAAAUUGAAUUCUGUGGUCCAUGGUGCGCGAUUACUGCUACAGAAAAAGCGGAUCCCCCACAGUCCCUACUACCACCUUCUCAAGAGUCCAUGGACCAUGAUUGGAGCAGCACUCACUCUGGAACUCCAGUCAUGAUGAGGUAUCACAGGAGGCAUGUCCACCACAGUCCCUACUACCACAAUCUCAAGAGCCUAUUGACCAUUGAUCAUGACGACACACCUGGUCAAAGCCCAUAAGAGCCUGCUCAGACCAAGCUGUGUUAGCCGAUGAGUAUGUGCUAACUUACAAGACUGUCUUUCCAUCAGCCUCUGCUGAGAAACCUUGUUAUGUUCAAACUAGUCUGCCAAAGAUGCUGAGUCCAAAGAAAGAAGAAAGAGAGUGUUUUUCUGCCACAAACCUGGACAUGUCAUUGCCGUCUGUCUGACCCUUAAAUGCAUACAGCAACAAGAGACUUCUCAGAGUGUGCUGUAGCUGAAAGACGUCGUAUUAAUUAAAACUGAGUCGUGAACAAACAAGAACCUCUGUUGUAAAUGGACCUGUACUUGUAUAGCGCCUUUCUAGUCUUCCGACCACUCAAAGCGCUUUUACACUGCAUGCCACAUUCACACAGUGAUGGCAAAGUCCAUCAAACAGAAACUAACUCAUUCAUACACGUUCAAGCACCAAUGCACGUCAUCACGUUCAGUAUCUUGCUCAAUUGUUCAAUGUGGCGGGAGGAGCCGGGGAUUGAACCAACAACCUUCCGAUUAGUGGACGACCCGCUCUGCCUCUGAGCCACAGCCACCUCUGACCAGUUGUCCGUCCUCUGACCAGUUUGCUCAGCCUGAGCUAGUUAGACGUUACUACACCUAGGUGCAGGGUGUUAAAGGGACACUUCACUCAUUUGCAUUAAGCUUUGAUUCAUUAGAACCCCAGUCAUAUUUUUGAAUGGUCGUGCAUCAUUCCGUCACUUUCCCUGAGAGGGGAGAAAUACGGAUUUUAGUGUUGCACUUCCUGCUUCCAAUGAUGUAAAAACCGUCAUUGUGCGUCAUUGGAAGCAGGAAGUCUCAUAUCUCUGUAGAGGGGGUGAGACUACAAACACUACUUCCUCAUUUUUUUUCUUACUCACACUACAGACCUAUUACAGAUCAGUGGGUGGGACUUCACUUGCAGAAACUAAAAAAUAUAACCGCCAUCUUGUUUGGAAGCUAAGCAGAGGCGCUGUCGGGCCAGACGUUACGACUAUGGUAAUCAAUGUAAUAUGGAAGAAAUUUCGAAAGUAUGAUGGUCGAAUCAGAUGUUCGUGGCUACCUUUAUUAGCCGCAAUAUAGCGAAGAGCUACUGAGGCCGAACAGGAGGCGGCUGAGGCUUCUGCCUUCAAGGCAGAGGACCUGCCUGUCGCGGACGAGGAGCCCGGACUGGCUCGAGCUCGGGCGGACUGCUGGUGCCUGUGCUCUCGCUGUGCGCCUAUGGACACACGGACGUCUGACUGUAAAACAAUAUCGCCUAACAGCCUUUCUGCAAUGGGUCCUGCAAGGCGAGAGAUUGGGAUCGAGGCCAUCGUGUCGUUUUACCCGCUUAUGUGGUGCAGGCUAUCCGACAGAAAUAUCCAGCUCCAGAUGGCCAGUACUGCGGCACCAAGAAGUUGAGGACGCUCAGGAGGAACUAUAACUGUCAUUGUUAACAUAUUUAUUUUUGUUGUUGUUGAUAUAUUUCUGUAAAUAAAUGGUUUACAUUCA